UGGUGGAGUGAUUUGUCUGGUUAAUUCCGUUAACGAACGAGACCGCGACCUGCUAAAUAGAGCGUCGAAUGUUCUCUCAUUCGCUCGCUACUUCUUAGAGGGACUACGGAGUCUCCAACUCCGGGGGAGUUCGCGGCAAUAACA
rnacentral:rRNA from 1 species